CCUGUUUUCUUCUUCUUUUUUUCUUGAAAAAUAACUGAGAUGAAUGAAUUUUUUACCAUAAAACCAAAAAAUUUCCCCCUUUUUUUGAAUGUGAAUUUUACUGAUUAGUAAUAAUAAUACCAGUCAUAUUGAUAUACACGAUGAUUUUAAGUUCGUUAUGAACUUUAUCAUUUUUUUCAAAUAAAAUUAAUCAAUCCGGGUUUCGAUUUGAUUCGUAUAGGGAUACAAAAGAGUGAGAGAUUUCUACAAAAGAGAAAAUUUGAGAGUUCAAAUAAGAGGAUUUUGUUGAUUCAUUUGUCGAUCUAAUUGAUAUGUAUGUCAUUAAAUUAGUAUUGUGUAUCAGAAUAAAAUGUAAGACAAUCC
rnacentral:lncRNA from 1 species